rnacentral:lncRNA from 1 species
UUUGAGUUCAGGGCCUGGCCUUCCUACAGCUCUCUCCUCGGCCCAGGUCCUGCUGCACGUGACUUGUGACAUCCGAUUUAGGCUUCUCAGGAGAGGGCAGGGACACAGGUCCCAUGAGUGCCUUUUACUGGGGGUGGGGAUUGAGAGGUGGCCCUGGGGGCCCUGGCCACGUCCCUCGCUGACUGUGCUGGUCUCCGUGCAGUGUCAACAGCAUCUCCACCCUGGAGCCUGUGAGCCGGUGCCAGCGCCUGAGUGAGCUGUACCUGCGGAGGAACCGCAUCCCCAGCCUGGCUGAGCUCUUCUACCUGAAGGGGCUGCCGCGUCUGCGGGUGCUGUGGCUGGCCGAGAACCCGUGCUGCGGCACCAGCCCCCACCGCUACCGCAUGACCGUGCUGCGCACCCUGCCGCGCCUACAGAAGCUGGACAACCAGGCUGUGACGGAGGAGGAGCUGUCCCGUGCACUGAGUGAGGGAGAGGAGAUCACU